rnacentral:rRNA from 1 species
GACGAACGCUGGCGGCGUGCUUAACACAUGCAAGUCGAACGAUGAAGUUCCCUCGGGAAUGGAUUAGUGGCGAACGGGUGAGGAACACGUGAACAAUCUGCCCCUUACACGGGAAUAACUUCGGGAAACCGAAGCUAAUACCCGAUAUUGAAUUCGGUAGGCAUCUACUGAAUUUGAAAUGGUCCGCCGGUAAGGGAUGAGUUCGCGGCCUAUCAGCUUGUUGGUAAGGUAACGGCUCACCAAGGCGACGACGGGUAGCCGGCCUGGGAGGGCGACCGGCCACACUGGGACUGAGACACGGCCCAGACUCCUACGGGAGGCAGCAGUGGGGAAUAUUGCGCAAUGGACGAAAGUCUGACGCAGCAACGCCGCGUGAGGGAUGACGGCCUUCGGGUUGUAAACCUCUUUCAAUCGGGACGAAGCGAAAGUGACGGUACCGAUACAAGAAGCACCGGCUAACUAUGUGCCAGCCGCCGCAGUAA